rnacentral:lncRNA from 13 species
CCCACCUCAGCUGCUGGUUUCCGCCCCCAGGGCUGGGCUUUCCCCGCCAGCAAGGAGCGGAAAUAAGGGGUGCUAUCUGAAGGAUAGAGAAGGAGAGGGAAAGCAGAGAGAGACCCUGGAGCACCUGUUGUGACCUCGAUUCUUCAUAUCUUUGUCUGAUAGUCUGCUGAGUCUUAAAUGGGAUGUACCAUUGUCCUUUGGUCAUCAGUGACUUCUUGAACUGACAAGUGACACACAAAUCCUGGUAUGGUGAGAACAAAAGGAAAAGAAGGAAGAAAUACGUUUCACAUUACACAGUCUUCAAUAUGCAAUUACACAUUUUCUUGAAACAAGAGGAAAAACUAGAAAAUCUGAGCAAAGAAAUAUAAUUUAUAAAAAAGAAUUAAAUGGAAAUUAUAGAAUUGAAAAAAAUACAGUCACUGAAAUAACAGCCCUGCUGAAUGAACAACAGAGUAGAGUGGAGAUGACAGAGGAGAAACUCCACAAACUUGAGGAACGAUAAACAGAAUUUAUCAAAUAUAAAUGGCAGAGAGAAAAUAGCCUGAAAAUAAAAAUGAACAGUCUCAGAAACA